rnacentral:tRNA from 1 species
GCUCGAUCUUGCUGUAGGCGAGCAGCACCGCCAGCUCGGGGCUGGUGAGGCCGACGCCGGCGGCCUUGCGCUCGGCGAUCUCCUCGUCGUCGGGCA